rnacentral:rRNA from 1 species
UACGGAGGGGGCUAGCGUUGUUCGGAAUCACUGGGCGUAAAGCGCGCGUAGGCGGCUUGGAAAGUUGGAUGUGAAAUCCCGGGGCUUAACCCCGGAACUGCAUUCAAAACUUCCUGGCUAGAGACUUAGAGAGGUGGGCGGAAUUCCGAGUGUAGAGGUGAAAUUCGUAGAUAUUCGGAAGAACACCGGUUGCGAAGGCGGCUCACUGGCUAAGUUCUGACGCUGAGGUGCGAAAGCGUGGGGAGCAAACAGG